AGUCGAGCGGACUUGAUGAGAAGCUUGCUUCUCUGAUGGUUAGCGGCGGACGGGUGAGUAACACGUAGGCAACCUGCCCUCAAGUUUGGGACAACUACCGGAAACGGUAGCUAAUACCGAAUAAUUGUUUUCUUCGCCUGAAGGAAACUGGAAAGACGGAGCAAUCUGUCACUUGGGGAUGGGCCUGCGGCGCAUUAGCUAGUUGGUGAGGUAACGGCUCACCAAGGCGACGAUGCGUAGCCGACCUGAGAGGGUGAUCGGCCACACUGGGACUGAGACACGGCCCAGACUCCUACGGGAGGCAGCAGUAGGGAAUCUUCCGCAAUGGGCGAAAGCCUGACGGAGCAAUGCCGCGUGAGUGAUGAAGGUUUUCGGAUCGUAAAGCUCUGUUGCCAGGGAAGAACGCUUGGGAGAGUAACUGCUCUCAAGGUGACGGUACCUGAGAAGAAAGCCCCGGCUAACUACGUGCCAGCAGCCGCGGUAAUACGUAGGGNGCAAGCGUUGUCCGGAAUUAUUGGGCGUAAAGCGCGCGCAGGCGGUCAUUUAAGUCUGGUGUUUA
rnacentral:rRNA from 1 species